rnacentral:lncRNA from 1 species
UGAUGACACAGCAUUCUUAGUUCACAGUUUGAUGGUAUAAAUAUAUGUCCAACUAAUUUGCAGGCCAUAAGUUCUGUUCUUAAAUUGAUGUUUUCCUGUUCACAUCUACUAUUGCUAAGAUGUUCUAGCUGUGAAAAUCAGCUGCACCACUUCCUCUGCAGUGCUGCUGAAGUAAAGCCAGACUUCCUACUAAACGCAGUUAAGAAUCGGAAAGCUCUUCACACUUUGAGCUGCAGCCGUGAAGUGUUAUGAUGGCAAAAGGCCAAGGUGCUAAUUCAAGCUUUGUAUCUUCAACCACGUUUCUAACUCCUGUAAGCAACUCUACAGCUUCCGACCCUGGUCUAACAAGGCUGGCAGUUAUUUUAGUAUUAAUUAUUCUGUGCCUGGCCAUGUCCUUAUUUCUGGUCCUGUUUACGUCUAUGGUUCUCCUAAUUAAACGGAUAUAUAAGCGGAAAAUGUCACCACUAAGUUGUGAACACCAUGAUGAAGAGGUCCCUGCAGUGAUCACCAGCAGAAGGCGCCGUAACAAAAGUUAUAAAGAGAAAAUAAAUUCAGUCUACUAUGCAUAUGCACAGCACCAGACAUCAAACUAACCAACGAGAAAUCAGGUUAAGUUCAACAGCUUCAAUAAAGUGCAAUGACUCAAAAACUGCUCUUCCA